CCCCUUUACGCGGAAUUAUUACAUUGUUGUUACGGUGAAUUCGGGAGCGAUCUUUUGAGCAGUUUUACGGAUAUCGGUACGAUAAACACAGUAUUUGUUUGGCAGGAAGAGAAAUCGUCUCAUUUGGUAUCGAUGCAGAGAACAUGACUGACAAAGAUCUAUUGGACAGUGAUUAUGAUGGGAUUUCACAAAUACAUGAGCACAGUUACAUUGUGAUAUCGGACUCUGACGAGACACAACCACCUUCACCUUUUGGUUGACAGGAAUAUUCCAGUGAAAGAUCAGUUGUUCAACAGCCUUUUUGACAAACAAAUUCCUGGUGCUGCCAUUCCUAAUCAACCGACAUAUCAGAAUUUUGGAUAAGAAUUCAGAUUACUGGCUGCAUAUUCAACCGAAUUUUUGGGUCCUGGGUUGGUGGGGGGUAACGUGUUUCAGACCAGAAUCCUGCCGGACCAUCCAAUUGCAAGGACAUCUAACAUAGCUGAAAUGUAUCUGUAAUGAAUUAUUAAAAGUUUGGAUAAAAAAUGUGUUCUUAAAUCAUUAUUUUAAACAAAUUAUACACCCAGGUUGACUAUUUUGAAAAAAUGAAAAAUGACAAUUUUUACACAUGGGAUUUUUCAAUGUUUCCGCAUUCACUAACAUUACUUUAGACAAUGUAAGAUAGACAAACCAUACAUAUUUGGAAAUGGUUUACUAAUAUCUAUCAGAAAAUGUAUAAUUUUACUGGGUUUAUGUCAAUUUUCAAAAUCAGUGGUUAUU